GACCGCAUGGCCUAAUGGAUAUGGCGUUUGACUUCGAAUCAGAAGAUUGAGGGUUCGAGUCCCUCUGUGGUCU
rfam:Ciona savignyi cont_36519, whole genome shotgun sequence.